GGUCCAUAUCUCAUAUCUGAUUUGCAACUUCAGCCCUAAACCCACUCGUAAUUCCCUUCCUCUCAUACGGCGAUUUACGGCAAGAGACCACAGCCUUCACUCGUCGCUUAUUUCCGACAAGAAACAGAACACAACCAUGAUUUGUUGUUCGUUUUGGGGCUAUUAGGGUUCGUCCAGCAAGUCCAGUGAGUUCAAUUGUAAGACGGCGACAACGGUGGCGGCCACGGUUCCUUUGGCCUCCAGUCUCUUCGUAUCAGGCACAUCUCUCUCUUUAGGCGUCAAUUUCAUUUUGUAUGAGCUAAUCUGCAUCAGUUAUUCGUUGUUUAUAUGUAUUCUGUAUCAGUCGUAGCAGUUUAUUCGGCUUAAAUAGUGCAUGGUUUUACAAAUAUAAACGAAUGAAACGCCUUAUAAAUUUGCAUACUGUUGAUUUAUUACACAGAUGAGCUUGCUAUACGAUUCUAGAUACGAAUGAAUUGUUAUGAUUUGGAAAUUGUGUUUCCCAAUUUUUUUUUUAUUUUUAGGUAUUUUUCAGUGAGUUUAGUAUGUAGAUAUGUUUUUUAGGAAUUUGUAUUUAAUUUUUUAGGAACCGGAACUACCCACCGGAACCGGAACUACCCCUCACACUUUUUUUUGUAUUUCCCUUGUAACUGUAAGCUGUUUAUUAACCUCGUACGCUAAGAUUUUGGUUUGGAGAGUUACAAGUUUAUUGUUCAUAAACUUUAACCGGGUGACGAUGAAUCCCAACAUUUGACAUUUGCUUGGUUUAAAAAAGCGAGCUUAAAGCCUGAGGCAAUGAAGCGCUAGGGAUGUCGCUUUUUUUGCUCUGAGGCGACAAAUCAUGUGAAGCGUUUUGAAGCGCGCUUUAAGCCCGAAGCGACGCUUCAGCCCAAUCAGGUCAGAAGUUUAUAGCUUUAUUAUAUGUCACAUAUUCUCUUGCUUUUAUUUAAGAUACAUACACCUUUACUGCAUGAGAGUCAUAUAAGAUGGCAUCCAUUUCAUUUGUCUACUGUAGGCUCUAAAAAUGAUUUUCAGCCAUACGUUUUUUGCUGGUUAUGCAAUCUUCGAGUUGAAUGACUAGUAUCUUAUCGGUUAAUGACAGAUGCAGCGUCUAAUAGAACUCUAAGUAUGUUUGGAACGAUAUCUUUCCAAUAAAGGUUAGUAGAAUGCCGCCCCCAUUCAUUGUCGUUCUCGUAUGUUACAUUUUGAACAACACAGGUUAGUAAUUCCUCAAUUAGUGCAUUUUUUUCCAUUUACUUGUACAUGUGUUCAUUUUCUAUCGGCUAUUAAUGAAAUAAUUUCACCUUUGUACUCAUCUAUGAGACCUUAGUUGUUUCGUCGAAUAAUUAGAAAUUUGAAAAUGGUAUUCAAGUAUAAGGUACCUGUACCCGAACCCUACCCGGAAUCGGUUACACCGGGUAUGGUUUUUCAGGCCAAUAAGAAAUGCUAACCAGCGUUUAAUGCUUACUGGGACUUUUUUUGCAGAAUGAUCUGCAUGUAUGCUUCAUUUUUAGAGUUUUUUCUUAAUGGGCGGGUUGGGUAAUGGGUAAUAGUCAUUUUAAGGAUGUGUUGCAAUGGGCGGGUCGAGUUUGACCAACAGACCCUAGAUGUUGUUAAAUUGUUUGACCCAUCUGUCUUGUUCUUGUAGCUAUUUGAUUCUCAAGUUUCAUAAGUACAUGAGUUGAAAUUUUCACCUUUAUGUAAAAAUAUUGCACAUUCGGAGUUGCUUUUAUCUAACAUAAGAAUUCGAAAAACCAAUACAAAAUCGUUGAAAAUUUUUACAAAAAAAAGCUAUUAAAUUUCAGUAUAAUUAAUUAAAAAAAUCAUUUAAAUGAUAUCUGAACACAAAAUGGCAGAUAACAAUAGUUCAUUUAUCAGGGCCAAUUGCUAAAGCAAAUGACCAUUUUAGCCCUUUGCUACUGAAAAAGAAUAUAUAAAUAUUUGAUAUGUAUAUAUUUUUUUUUAUAUUUAUGAAUUUACAACUUUCUUAUCUCAAACUCUAUUAUAAAUUACAUACUGAUCAUGUAAGAUUUUUAAGUUCAAUACAUGUACAAGUUGUUCAAACGUCCAACAUAUGACUAGUAAAUGCAAAACUAUAGAUAAUAUAAAUCAAAAUCACAAAAACUCGAUGCACGUUACAAAACUAUAGAUCUAAUAAUUCUACUGAUAAAUUUUGAAAUCUAAACUAAAUUUACCCUUUUAAAAUGAAUUCUUAUACACAAUUAGCAACUUAUAUAAUGUCCAUGACUUAACAGGGAAAGUAACACCACCUUUAAGUGUUUUCGCCAUCAAGUCUAUAAGUCUAAAUAUCAAACACGUACCCAAGUAAUAUAUUGAAAUUAUUACAAGGGUAGAAGAACAUCAUUGUUGAACAAGGACCAGCCUUUUGAACUGGGUUUUUGAGAUGCGCUUUCAUUACCUGCUGGUUUACUAUCCAAUGUUAGAUCUAUUUGGUCACAUUUCUGAUUACUUUGAUUAAUAGUUGUUGGUUGUCUUCUGGUCUUGUGUUUAUGUUCGCAUGAUAGAAGAGUUGCUUGGCAAAGGAAUGUGAAGAUGGAGGUUGCUGAUAGCCUGAUACUACUUGGAAGCUAGAUGAAGCUGGAUUUUUGAAGACAGUAGAUCUGUUUUUGUGUAGUGUAUAACUGUAGAUUUUGCUUUUGUAUUGUUUUAUACUUUUAUGUAUGGUUUAAGGCUUAGAGUUCAUGUUUUGCACAAAUGGAACAUAAAUGUUAUCGAGUUUUGAACACAGUAA